GGGGCUGUGGCUCAGUGGUAGAGCACUCACCUGGCCCGUGUGAGGCACUGGGUUUGAUCCUCAGCAUCACA
rnacentral:tRNA from 1 species